rnacentral:rRNA from 1 species
GUGCCAGCAGCCGCGGUAAUACGGAGGGGGUUAGCGUUGUUCGGAAUUACUGGGCGUAAAGCGCACGUAGGCGGAUCAGAAAGUCGGGGGUGAAAUCCCAGGGCUCAACCCUGGAACUGCCUCCAAAACUCCUGGUCUUGAGUUCGAGAGAGGUGAGUGGAAUUCCGAGUGUAGAGGUGAAAUUCGUAGAUAUUCGGAGGAACACCAGUGGCGAAGGCGGCUCACUGGCUCGAUACUGACGCUGAGGUGCGAAAGUGUGGGGAGCAAACAGGAUUAGAUACCCCGGUAGUCC